rnacentral:rRNA from 1 species
GAUCAUGGCUCAGAUUGAACGCUGGCGGCAUGCUUUACACAUGCAAGUCGAGCGGCAGCGCGGGGGCAACCCUGGCGGCGAGCGGCGAACGGGUGAGUAAUGCAUCGGAACGUACCCUGGAGUGGGGGAUAACGCCGCGAAAGCGGCGCUAAUACCGCAUAUGCUCUGAGGAGGAAAGUGGGGGACCGCAAGGCCUCACGCUCUGGGAGCGGCCGAUGUCCGAUUAGCUAGUUGGUGGGGUAAAGGCUUACCAAGGCGACGAUCGGUAGCUGGUCUGAGAGGAUGAUCAGCCACACUGGGACUGAGACACGGCCCAGACUCCUACGGGAGGCAGCAGUGGGGAAUUUUGGACAAUGGGGGCAACCCUGAUCCAGCCAUGCCGCGUGAGUGAAGAAGGCCUUCGGGUUGUAAAGCUCUUUUGGUCGGGAAGAAAGCGCCUUGCCAAAUACGCGAGGUGGUUGACGGUACCGUAAGAAUAAGCACCGGCUAACUACGUG